rnacentral:rRNA from 1 species
UACGUAGGGGGCAAGCGUUGUCCGGAAUUAUUGGGCGUAAAGAGCGCGUAGGCGGUCCGAUAAGUCGGCUGUGAAAGUCAGGGGCUCAACCCUUGAAAGCCGGCCGAUACUGUCGGACUAGAGUCCGGAAGAGGCAAGUGGAAUUCCCGGUGUAGCGGUGAAAUGCGAAGAUAUCGGGAGGAACACCAAUGGCGAAGGCAGCUGCUGGGACGGUACUGACGCUGAGGCGCGAAAGCGUGGGGAGCAACAGG